rnacentral:rRNA from 1 species
UACGUAGGGUGCGAGCGUUGCUCGGAAUUAUUGGGCGUAAAGCGCGCGUAGGCGGCUACCUAAGUCGGAUGUGAAAGCCCCUGGCUUAACUGGGGAAGUGCACCCGAAACUGGGUAGCUAGAGUGCAAAAGAGGGUCGCGGAAUUCCCGGUGUAGAGGUGAAAUUCGUAGAUAUCGGGAGGAACACCGGUGGCGAAGGCGGCGACCUGGGUUGACACUGACGCUGAGGCGCGAAAGCGUGGGGAGCAAACAGG